UAGAAAAUUUCACCGCAACUUCCCAACGCUCCCAACAGGCUUCCCUUUUUAACCACCACUCGUCGUAUCGACCCCAUUCCUUCUCAUACUCUCUCUCUUAGCCCAGAUACCUCAGAUGGACAUCGAGAACCUCGUCUGCGGCGGAGACUGCAAGGUCGCUUGCGAGACCCUGGCAGAAGCCGGCGGCGGCGAAAAGCGUAGGCACGAUCCGCCUCCGGCAGCGGCGGAGGACCCGGACUUCCCGGCAGAGUCCUUCGAGGUCCGGAUCGGGGACGAGAUCGAGUGGGCGGACCUCAACGCCGUCUACGAUCGGGAUAACUCCACCAAGGGGAGCACCAAUCCCAAGUCCAGCCAUGCCAAUCCAUGGGCGCCGGCAGCUUCGAAUUCCCAGCGCUUCUCCGGCAAUCUCAAGGCAAAGCCCCAAAUCAUCGGCCUCCCUGGCAAGAUCCACCACUCCGGCUACGAAGGCCGGAGCGCCCGCCGACGGCCGCACGUCCAGAUCUUCCCGAAGAAGGCCGCCGGCGGCAGAGGCGCCGGUGGUGGAAGGAAGUCUACGGUGCCGGAGUUGGAGCCGGGAUCGCCGAAGGUGUCGUGCUUCGGGACGGUGUUGUCGGAUAGGGAGCGAGAGCGGUGUCUCAGGGAGCGGCGGGGGGCGGUGGCGGCGGAGGAGGAGAGAGCGGAAAGGGGAUGGUCGAGGGUCUUUGCGGCGAUUUUCCGGUGCGGUGGGGGACAUCGGGCGGUGGCGAAGGAAGUUAAAGAGGAGGAGGAGAAGGAGAAAGAGAUUACUCUGCCGUCGAAGAAUAUUCCGGCGCCGGCGGGGAGAGCGCCGGAAUCGCCGUCACCGGGAAUAGGAGGGAUGAGGCGGUUCGCGUCGGGGCGGAGGGCGGCGUCGUGGGGAGCGGAAGCGGAGGUGGAAGAACACAUGGCAAAAUCUAUGCCGAUGGAUCAGGUAGGGGCGUAGGGCCGGCGAUCAGGUUUGGUGGAGCAUGGGAAGCGAGGGAGACGGUUCGGCGCUCGUGCCGUGGUCCAGUACGUUGCAAAAGUUUGAAAGUCCACAAGCCACUUUUGCCGGUCAAUGAUGACGAUGAAUAACAAAAUAAAUUGAGGGAAGGGCAAGUCAUAUGUACAAAUAUGGAACGGGACUUUUUGUAAGCAUCCCAAAGUUUCUUCUACAUUGCACCAGAAAUACCAAAAAGUAUGCACCCAUAGAUUUCUAGAUAUGGUUUCAUUUAGACUUCAGUACCAUUUCAACUUUUGAAUAAUGACUACAGUGUUGUACCAAAAAAAAAAUAUAUAAUGACUACAGUAAUUGAUGCAAACUUGCAAUAAGAAAGUCUACUAGAAAUAACUACCAUGUGUCUCUUCUAAUUAUAUACGAGAACAACAAAAUAUCAAGAAAAUAGUUCAAUCAUAGCAGCUAAAAUGUUUUAUUGCAGUCGUCCACUAUUAUUCUUUUCUAUAUUGCUUCCUGUAGCAAAAUAGUUGACGCUCUCCAGCUACUCGUUUUUGAUCAUAUAAUCACGAGUUGAGCUUCAGUGUGCAUGCGGUAGGUGGGCAUGAUUCUCGUGGAAAGGUUGUCCUGCUUUGUUUGUUAUCUUAGUUUUAGGGUUCGCGUUCACAUUUUUGUCAGAUAGCGUUAUACUAGUAAACACCCCGAAUUAAUUCUACCAA